rnacentral:misc_RNA from 1 species
UAAACUAUGCUGCAAUGAAGGCCUGGUUUUCCAUGAAUGAUUUAAGAGGAGUGACUGUUGAGGUUCAAAAGUUUGAAGACUUUAAGUGGCUGAAUGCUUCUUAUGUUCCAGUUCUUAAACAGCUCCAGGACUCAGAAACUCAAAACUAUUACUUUUCAGGCCACAAUGAUGAUGGUGGGACUCCAAUCAAGUUCCGGAACCCAAAAUAUUUGUCUAUGCUAAAUCACCUCAGAUUUUAUAUUCCGGAAGUUUUUCCUGCAUUGAAGAAGGUGAUAUUUCUUGAUGAUGAUGUAGUGGUUCAGAAGGAUCUUUCUGCUCUAUUUUCUAUUGAUUUGAAUGGCAAUGUCAAUGGAGCAGUAGAGACAUGCAUGGAGACAUUUCACCGGUAUCAUAAGUACCUGAACUACUCUCACCCACUCAUUCGAGAGCAUUUUGAUCCGGAUGCUUGCGGUUGGGCAUUUGGGAUGAAUGUUUUUGAUUUGGUCGAGUGGAGGAAAAGAAAUGUGACCAACAUUUACCAUUACUGGCAGG